GACAGAGGGUGCAAACGUUGUUCGGAAUCACUGGGCGUAAAGGGCGCGUAGGCGGCCCUCCUUGUCGCGUGUGAAAGCCCCGGGCUCAACCUGGGAACGGCGCGCGAGACGGGGGGGCUGGAGUUCGGGAGAGGAGCGUGGAAUUCCCAGUGUAGAGGUGAAAUUCGUAGAUAUUGGGAAGAACACCGGUGGCGAAGGCGGCGCUCUGGACCGAGACUGACGCUGAGGCGCGAAAGCGUGGGGAGCGAACAGG
rnacentral:rRNA from 1 species